rnacentral:lncRNA from 1 species
AUCCCUGCAGUGGCCUGCAAGGUUCUACAUGGCGCAGGUUUGGCAUCCACUGUGACCUCAUCCCAUUCACUGUCUGCCCCUCCUACACCAGGCAGCUUGCCUACCACCUCAUUGUCCUCAAGUGAGCCAAGCACAGCCCCAGGGCCUUUGCACCUGCAGUUCUCUCUGUCUGGAAUGACUUCUUCCACCCUUCACCAUCCUCAGCACAGGGAAGUCUGUCUACUACUUUUAUAUGAUUACCAAAUUGCAAGAAGAAGAUCAUGCCCUUUGUUUGAUUCCAUCUUCUCUUUGAUGAUGCAACCAUCAGGAUCAAGACAGCACACACAGCCUGGGCACGGGGGCUCACGCCUGCAAUUCCAGCACUUUGGGAGGCCAAAGCGGAUGGAUCACUUGAGGUCAGGAGUUCGAGACCAGCCUGGCCAAAAAGGUAUACAAGACUGAUUCAGCAUUCAAAAAUAAAUUAAUGCAAUCCAUGACAUCAAAAGUCUAAAGAAAAGAAAUCAUAUGAUCAUAUUCAUUGAUGCUGAAAAAGCAUUUGACAAAACCAACACCCAUCCAUGAUAAAAAAAAUUCAGUAAAUAAAACCAGAAAGAGGAGGGAACUUUGUCAGUUUGUUUUUUUUUAAUCUACCCAAAAACCCUACAACUAAUAUUAUACCUAAUGAAGAAAAGUUGAAUGCUUUUCCCCUGAGAACAGGAAAAAGGCAAAGAUAUCCCCUUUUACCACUAUGAUUCAAUAUCAUACCAAAGUCCUAGGAAGUGCAAUAAAACAAGAAAAGGAAAUAAAAUGUAUACAUAUUGGAAAGUAAGAGGCAAAAUUGUCUUUGUUCACAGAUGAGAUGAUUGUCUGUGUAGAAAAUCCCAAAGAAUAAAGACUCCUAGAAUGAAUCAGUGUUUACAGCAAUAUUGCAGGAUAUCUGUUAAUAGUUGAAAGUCUAUUACUUUCCUACGGAUAUUAUAAUUUAGGAGGUUGGGGAGGGGGCUCUCAGGAAGGAAUGCCGACCGUGACAAGAGAAUCUAACUGUUGUUGAUUUUAAAAAGUCAAACUCCAGAUGGGCACAGUGGCUCACACCUGUAAUCCCAGCACUUUGGGAGGCCGAAGCAGGCCGAUCACGAGGUCAG